rnacentral:rRNA from 1 species
AUUGAACGCUGGCGGCAGGCCUAACACAUGCAAGUCGAGCGGCAGCGGGAAAGUAGCUUGCUACUUUUGCCGGCGAGCGGCGGACGGGUGAGUAAUGCCUGGGAAAUUGCCCAGUCGAGGGGGAUAACAGUUGGAAACGACUGCUAAUACCGCAUACGCCCUACGGGGGAGAGCAGGGGACCUUCGGGCCUUGCGCGAUUGGAUAUGCCCAGGUGGGAUUAGCUAGUUGGUGAGGUAAUGGCUCACCAAGGCGACGAUCCCUAGCUGGUCUGAGAGGAUGAUCAGCCACACUGGAACUGAGACACGGUCCAGACUCCUACGGGAGGCAGCAGUGGGGAAUAUUGCACAAUGGGGGAAACCCUGAUGCAGCCAUGCCGCGUGUGUGAAGAAGGCCUUCGGGUUGUAAAGCACUUUCAGCGAGGAGGAAAGGUUGAUGCCUAAUACGUAUCAACUGUGGCGUUACUCGCAGAAGAAGCACCGGCUAACUCCGUGCCAGCAGCCGCGGUAAUAC